UACGGGAGGCAGCAGUGGGGAAUAUUGCACAAUGGGCGAAAGCCUGAUGCAGCUAUGCCGCGUGUAUGAAGAAGGCCUUAGGGUUGUAAAGUACUUUCAUCGGGGAGGAAAAAACAAAACUAAUAAUUUUAUUUCUUGACGUUACCCGAAAAAGAAGCACCGGCUAACUCCGUGCCAGCAGCCGCGGUAAUACGGAGGGUGCUAGCGUUAAUCAGAAUUACUGGGCGUAAAGAGCACGUAGGUGGUUUUUUAAAGUCAGAUGUGAAAUCCCUGGGCUUUAACCUAGGAACUGCAUUUUGAAACUGAAAUACUAGAGUAUCGUAGAGGGAGGUAGAAUUCUAGGUGUAGCGGUGAAAUGCGUAGAUAUCUGGAGGAAUACCUGUGGCGAAAGCGGCCUCCUAAACGAAUACUGACACUGAGGGUGCGAAAGCGUGGGGAGCAAACGAGGGAUUAGAUACC
rnacentral:rRNA from 1 species